rnacentral:rRNA from 1 species
CAAUAGCGUAUAUUAAAGUUGUUGCGGUUAAAAAGCUCGUAGUUGGAUUUCUGCUGAGAACGACCGGUCCGCCCUUUGGGUGUGUAUCUGGCUCUUUCUUGGCAUCUUCUUGGUGAACGUUGCUGCACUUGACUGUGUGGAGCGCUACCCAGGACUUUUACUUUGAGGAAAUUAGAGUGUUUCAAGCAGGCAUACGCCUUGAAUACAUUAGCAUGGAAUAAUAAGAUAGGACCUCGGUUCUAUUUUGUUGGUUUCUAGAGCUGAGGUAAUGAUUAAUAGGGAUAGUUUGGGGCAUUCGUAUUUAACUGUCAGAGGUGAAAUUCUUGGAUUUGUUAAAGACGGACUACUGCGAANGNAUUUGCNAAGGAUGUUUNCAUUG